rnacentral:rRNA from 1 species
ACUGAACGCUGGCGGCAGGCCUAACACAUGCAAGUCGAGCGGAUGAAGGGAGCUUGCUCCUGGAUUUAGCGGCGGACGGGUGAGUAAUGCCUAGGAAUCUGCCUGGUAGUGGGGGAUAACGUCCGGAAACGGGCGCUAAUACCGCAUACGUCCUGAGGGAGAAAGUGGGGGAUCUUCGGACCUCACGCUAUCAGAUGAGCCUAGGUCGGAUUAGCUAGUUGGUGGGGUAAAGGCCUACCAAGGCGACGAUCCGUAACUGGUCUGAGAGGAUGAUCAGUCACACUGGAACUGAGACACGGUCCAGACUCCUACGGGAGGCAGCAGUGGGGAAUAUUGGACAAUGGGCGAAAGCCUGAUCCAGCCAUGCCGCGUGUGUGAAGAAGGUCUUCGGAUUGUAAAGCACUUUAAGUUGGGAGGAAGGGCAGUAAGUUAAUACCUUGCUGUUUUGACGUUACCAACAGAAUAAGCACCGGCUAACUUCGUG